CGCUGCAUUAGCUAGUUGGUAAGGUAACGGCUUACCAAGGCAACGAUGCAUAGCCGACCUGAGAGGGUGAUCGGCCACACUGGAACUGAGACACGGUCCAGACUCCUACGGGAGGCAGCAGUAGGGAAUCUUCCGCAAUGGGCGAAAGCCUGACGGAGCAACGCCGCGUGAGUGAUGAAGGUCUUCGGAUCGUAAAACUCUGUUAUUAGGGAAGAACAUAUGUGUAAGUAACUGUGCACAUCUUGACGGUACCUAAUCAGAAAGCCACGGCUAACUACGUGCCAGCAGCCGCGGUAAUACGUAGGUGGCAAGCGUUAUCCGGAAUUAUUGGGCGUAAAGCGCGCGUAGGCGGUUUUUUAAGUCUGAUGUGAAAGCCCACGGCUCAACCGUGGAGGGUCAUUGGAAACUGGAAAACUUGAGUGCAGAAGAGGAAAGUGGAAUUCCAUGUGUAGCGGUGAAAUGCGCAGAGAUAUGGAGGAACACCAGUGGCGAAGGCGACUUUCUGGUCUGUAACUGACGCUGAUGUGCGAAAGCGUGGGGAUCAAACAGGAUUAGAUACCCUGGUAGUCCACGCCGUAAACGAUGAGUGCUAAGUGUUAGGGGGUUUCCGCCCCUUAGUGCUGCAGCUAACGCAUUAAGCACUCCGCCUGGGGAGUACGACCGCAAGGUUGAAACUCAAAGGAAUUGACGGGGACCCGCACAAGCGGUGGAGCAUGUGGUUUAAUUCGAAGCAACGCGAAGAACCUUACCAAAUCUUGACAUCCUUUGACAACUCUAGAGAUAGAGCCUUCCCCUUCGGGGGACAAAGUGACAGGUGGUGCAUGGUUGUCGUCAGCUCGUGUCGUGAGAUGUUGGGUUAAGUCCCGCAACGAGCGCAACCCUUAAGCUUAGUUGCCAUCAUUAAGUUGGGCACUCUAAGUUGACUGCCGGUGACAAACCGGAGGAAGGUGGGGAUGACGUCAAAUCAUCAUGCCCCUUAUGAUUUGGGCUACACACGUGCUACAAUGGACAAUACAAAGGGCAGCGAAACCGCGAGGUCAAGCAAAUCCCAUAAAGUUGUUCUCAGUUCGGAUUGUAGUCUGCAACUCGACUACAUGAAGCUGGAAUCGCUAGUAAUCGUAGAUCAGCAUGCUACGGUGAAUACGUUCCCGGGUCUUGUACACACCGCCCGUCACACCACGAGAGUUUGUAACACCCGAAGCCGGUGGAGUAACCUUUUAGGAGCUAGCCGUCGAAGGUGGGACAAAUGAUUGGGGUGAAGUCGUAACAAGGUAGCCGUAUCGGAAGGUGCGGCU
rnacentral:rRNA from 1 species